rnacentral:tRNA from 1 species
ACCCAACUGGCUCAGUCAGCAGAGUGUAUGACUCUUGAUCUUGGGAUUAUGGGUUCGAGCCCCAUGUUGUGUA